CUUCAGCUUGAGCAAAAAUAGCAAAACAUCUGAGGCUGCCAUGACAACCAAUGAAAGCACCGUGGUGCCCACUCUUGUCCACCAAUGAUAAAACCUGCCUGCGGCUCUCCCAGUCCUCUCCCAGCUGGGGCUGGGGCCCUCUAACUUUCUUCCAAGUUCAACCUUCAGGAAGCUUUCCCAAAUAGAGCUGCUCUAUCCUCAACCAAGAAGCCAAGGGUCAGCUGGAGUUGUCUCAGCGCCCAGUGCCUCUGAACUUUUUGAUUUGUUCUCCUUUGCUCCUUUCAGUGUCUCCAGGCACAUGUGACAGAGAUGACUAUCUCCAUUUUGCAGAUGGAAAAAUAGAGGCAUGGGCCAUGAACUGACCGGCCCUAGUUCAUAAGCUUCUGGUUUAAUGGUAGAACCACAUGCAGAAUUCAAAGCUCCCAACUCCAGAUCUGGUUAGCAGAAGAACAGAAGGAACAGCCACUCUCAGAAAACAUGACCCAAAAGGGGAAAAGAUUCUGCUAGGUGAGCUGCAUCUCAGCCACAGACUGACAUUCCCUCAACCAGUCUCUGGGAUAUAAACCUGGGAAGGGUUGGAGGAAAAUCUACUUCCCCACCAUGGUAAAUGGGCUGCACAAAAACCCACCUCUAUCCUGGAUUCAGCGUCUCGGGCUGCAUCUACCAUGCACAGGCAACCAGAAGAGCACAGAGCGGGUACUCAAAGGAUGGGAAUCGUGACUGCAGGGUCAUCAAGAUGGCUGAGUCCAGCUCCUGCAUCUGUUGUUUGAAGCUCCUUUCCCACAUGCCAAAUGCCUACUUCAAACCAAUGACACUGGCACAUGGGAGUUCACCUUUGCAAGAGCUGCCUUCUCUCCAAGGAUGCUUUCCCGUCUUCCGUUUCCUCAAGGAAGAAAUCAAGGGAAAAGGGAAGCACCUUUCUUCCUUCCCUGCUCUAAUUUGUACCGUCUCCCCAUGAUGAGAUAAGCCUGUGCUGACUGAUACCUGGGUGUGGAGCGAGCUGCAUGUGACCCCGUCAUUCUUUUUUCUUUUCGCCCCAUUAAUAGAUGCUUUUUAGCCACUUCACCAACUGACCCCAAGCCUCACCUCUGGUCUCUAAUCAAAACCUUAACAGGGUUUUCCAUAAACUGAAAUUUACAUUCAAUCAUCACCAUAGCAACCAUCACACAGAAUUAGAUACAACUUUUCCAUCUCUGAUGUAAUCUACUUUUUUAAAAAGAGCUGCUUUCCUCUUCAAUUGCAAAUCCAAGCUAUUCAGAAGAUAACCAUUAAAAAUCUAUUUUGAAAAAACUACAUUUAAACAGACUGUAGCAAGGUUCUUAAAACAGGUAUUUGAAGUAGUUUCUAGACACUUAGUAACAUACACUUAUUCCCCCAAAUGGUGGCCAUCAUUGCACAAGUCUCCAGGAUUUGGUCCAGUGUUAAGAAUCGAACAACGCUUCUGUGAAAAUUGUCACAACCAAAACUUAAAAGGUGCCCUGAGAUAACAACUGCAAGCCAGGGCAUACAAUUCUGUUAAUUUCUAAAGGAUGUCCGCAUCAUGUCUAAAAAUAAAUAAAUAAAACAAGGUUGGACUGUUCAGUGUGUAAUUGGCAAAUCCCCCAAAAUUUCUGGAAUUCACCUAGUCAUCCAAGAGGAAUUAUUCAAUUGCUAAAGUGGCUUAAGACUGUGAGAAUAGGCAACUGUAAGGAGAGUACGCCACAGAUAAAGAGAUAAAUCCUCAUUCAAGGAGUCUAAAUGUUUCUCACUCUAUGAGUACAAUGCUGUAAGAGAGGCCUUGAAUAUUCAGAGAUGUUGGAAAUGUAUUUCAGAUUUAGAAAAAGGUAAGAAAAGACACUUUCAGAAAAUGUACUGACAAAAAAAAAUCUACUUAUGACACUAAUCCCACUAACAAAUUAAUGAAGCCCACCCAUCUCAUCACUUCUAUACAUCUCAUUCCAUUGCUACUUAGAAUCCCAGAAACUGGGCAAUUCAGUUGUAUUGAAAAUUGAGAUAAUAAAAUCAAGUCAUUUUCCAUAAGCCAAAUCAUUUUAUUCUAUGUAUUUACAGCCGAACUAUGAUGUAGUGAUAGUCCAUUCAUUUAAUUCAUUCAUCAAGCAUUUAUUGAGCACUAGAUGCUACUACGUGCUGAGAGCUGCAUUUAAUAAAGAUAAGUGACAUAUCAUCCAAGACCUCAUUACUUUUCUAAUUCAUAGGAUGGCAGAUGUUUUAUGCCCAAAUGUCAGGGAAAUUGUAAUCCAUUUCCUCUGAAUAAACAUUCAAGACUGUAUAUAUAGGAAGUAAUGCUGGUCACAUGGCUGUGCUACUCAUUGUAAUAACUCCAGUCUGGACACUUGAAUUAGACUGAUGGCUAACAGUCUACCACUUUUAUUAUUAAGACCUGGUAGGCCUCACCACAGGGCAUUUAUUUUGAGAUUUCUGAAAACGCCCUGACUUAGUUCCAGUGCCAUUCUGCCACUUAGGAGAUAGGGCUGAAUUCCACCCCAAAUGACAAAGAAACUCCUCUAAAUACUCCUAACAGUUAGGCAUUGUGUAGAGCAAAAAUAAGCCAUUCUUAAAGCUUCUCAGCCAUUCUUUUCUAUUAAAGACCAUUGGCAUAGCUAGUUAGGCAAUGUGAGCAAGGAGUGGGUUAUUUCCAAAUAGUUGCCAAAGUAUCUUACAUGCCCAGAAGUGAGAAGUCUUGCAUAUUAAGUGUGAUAAUAUAUACAAGAAAAACGCUAGUCCAGGAAUGGGAUGCUGGUUUCCUCCCAGGUGCCAACUCUAGUGGAACGGCAGUGGAUGGCCAUUCCCCUGAGCGAGGCUUGUGCUGAGGCCAAGGCCCAGCUCAGUGAGACAAGAUGUCUUGAUUCACCCACAAAGUCUGAUCUGGGAGCAGACAGGCUGUGCUGUACAAUGUGUUCCACUGUCCAAGGCAGCCUGGACCAUGCUGCAGGGGGAGAGGCAGACCUAUGCCACUGAGUUACUGGAGAGAGUUUGCAGAAAUAAUCAGAAAGAACAUCCCAGUGCCUUCAAAGACCAAUGAACCUGUGCUGGCAAUCUUAAGAAAAACUUUGAGGUGCAAUUGGCAGAACUUAAGACAGAAUGGGUACCUUCCAAAUGGUUGGAAAAGAUAAGAGCCAAACAAAUAUAUUCCAUACUGAAAUUUUAAAAAAACUUCACCAAGAACCAUCAGCAAUGGAAAACCUAAAUAAGAUCACAAAAAUUAAAGAUCAGAGCAGUUGAGGCGGCACUCUCUGAUAGAUGUUGCCAAUUAACAGGACAAGCUGAGGAUAAGGAUAAAAUCCUUUUGUAAGAGUUGAACCAAUACAUGCAUUGCAACCAACACCAGAUUCUUGGUUUUUUGUUUGUGUUUGCUUUUUUAAAAGAUCGGUAGGAAGAUCACAAUCUCCCCAACACAGCCUCCUAGAAAUGAUGCAGACGUGUGGCUUUUGCGGAGGAAGGAAGCAAAGAAUGUUUUGGUUAUCUUCUGUAAACUUAUACUGCUUUUGAAAAAUAUAAAUAAAUAUAUCUACAAAUGCCACAA
rnacentral:lncRNA from 1 species